CAUAUCAAUAAGCGGAGGAAAAGAAACCAACAGGGAUUGCUUUAGUAACGGCGAGUGAAGCGGCAAUAGCUCAAAUUUGAAAUCUGGCGCUUGCGUCCGAGUUGUAAUUUGUAGAGGAUGAUUUUGGUUAGGUACCUUUCGAGUUCCUUGGAACAGGACGCCUUAGAGGGUGAGAGCCCCGUACGAUUGGAUGCCGAGCCUCUGUAAAUCUCCUUCGACGAGUCGAGUAGUUUGGGAAUGCUGCUCUAAAUGGGAGGUAAAUUUCUUCUAAAGCUAAAUACCGGCCAGAGACCGAUAGCGCACAAGUAGAGUGAUCGAAAGAUGAAAAGCACUUUGAAAAGAGGGUUAAAUAGCACGUGAAAUUGUUGAAAGGGAAGGAUUUAUGACCAGACUUUUUCUAGGAGAAUCAUCCGGUGUUCUCACCGGUGCACUUCUUUUAGUUUAGGCCAGCAUCGACUUUCGGCGGUGGAUAAAAGCUUUAGGAAUGUGGCUUCUCUCGGGAAGUGUUAUAGCCUAUUGUAUAAUACACUGCUGGGGGUCGAGGUACGCGCUUCUGCAAGGAUGCUGGCGUAAUGGUUAUCAAUCACCCGUCUUGAAACACGGACCAAGGAGUCGAACAUUUGUGCGAGUGUUUGGGUGUUAAACCCUCACGCGUAAUGAAAGUGAACGGAGGUGAGAGCCCUUACGGGUGCAUCAUCGACCGAUCCUGAUGUUUUCGGAUGGAUUUGAGUAAGAGCAUAAAUGUUCGGACCCGAAAGAUGGUGAACUAUGCGUGGAUAGGGUGAAGCCAGAGGAAACUCUGGUGGAGGCUCGCAGCGGUUCUGACGUGCAAAUCGAUCGUCAAAUCUGCGCAUGGGGGCGAAAGACUAAUCGAACCAUCUAGUAGCUGGUUACC
rnacentral:rRNA from 1 species